UACGUAGGGGGCAAGCGUUGUCCGGAAUCAUUGGGCGUAAAGCGCGUGUAGGCGGCCCGAUAAGUCCGCUGUGAAAGUCCAGGGCUCAACCCUGGAAUGCCGGUGGAUACUGUCGGGCUCGAGUCCGGAAGAGGUGAGUGGAAUUCCUGGUGUAGCGGUGAAAUGCGCAGAUAUCAGGAGGAACACCAAUUGCGAAGGCAGCUCGCUGGGACGUAACUGACGCUGAGACGCGAAAGCGUGGGGAGCAAACAGG
rnacentral:rRNA from 1 species